CUGCCGCGUGCAGGAAGACGGCGUUCUGCGUUGUAAACUGCUUUUAUACGGGAAGAAAAGGCCCAUGCGUGGGACAUUGCCGGUACCGUAUGAAUAAGCACCGGCUAACUCCGUGCCAGCAGCCGCGGUAAUACGGAGGGUGCAAGCGUUGUCCGGAUUUAUUGGGUUUAAAGGGUGCGUAAGCGGCCCAUUAAGUCAGCGGUGAAAGUUUAUGGCUCAACCAUGAAAUUGCCGUUGAUACUGGGGGGCUUGAGUGUCGAUGGGGUACAUGGAAUUUAUGGUGUAGCGGUGAAAUGCAUAGAUACCAUAAGGAACACCGAUAGCGAAGGCAUUGUACUUAUCGACAACUGACGCUGAGGCACGAAAGCGCGGGUAGCGAACAGGAUUAGAUACCCUGGUAGUCCGCGCCGUAAACGAUGAUCACUCGCUGUCAUGCCUUUAUGGUGUGGUGGCCAAGCGAAAGCGUUAAGUGAUCCACCUGGGGAGUACGCCCGCAAGGGUGAAACUCAAAGGAAUUGACGG
rnacentral:rRNA from 1 species